rnacentral:snRNA from 1 species
GUGUUCGUUUCAGCAUACGUAUACUAAAAUUGGAAACAAACAGAAGGUUAACACAGCCCCUGCACAAGGAUGACACGCACAUUCAUGAAAUAUUCAGUAUUUUU